GGGGGCUGGACUGGCCAAGGUGGCUCUAAACUUGGGACUAAAAGGACUCUACCCAAGAAGAGCUUUGAACAGAUCAGUGCCAAUAUAACUAAGUUUAACAUUCAGGGCCUUGUCAUCAUUGGGGGCUUUGAGGUGAGUGCCUGCCACCAUUUCUUCCUCUCUCCCUCCUACCUCCUCUCCCUCUCCCCAAUCCUGCCCUUGUGCUCUCUUCUUCUUAGGCUUACACAGGGGGCCUGGAACUGAUGGAGGGCAGGAAGCAGUUUGAUGAGCUCUGCAUCCCAUUUGUGGUCAUUCCUGCUACAGUCUCCAACAAUGUCCCUGGCUCAGACUUCAGCGUUGGGGCUGACACAGCACUCAAUACUAUCUGCACAACCUGUGACCGCAUCAAGCAGUCAGCAGCUGGCACCAAGCGUCGGGUGUUUAUCAUUGAGACUAUGGGUGGCUACUGUGGCUACCUGGCUACCAUGGCUGGACUGGCAGCUGGGGCCGAUGCUGCCUACAUUUUUGAGGAGCCCUUCACCAUUCGAGACCUGCAGGCAAAUGUUGAACAUCUGGUGCAAAAGAUGAAAACAACUGUGAAAAGGGGCUUGGUGUUAAGGAAUGAAAAGUGCAAUGAGAACUAUACC
rnacentral:sRNA from 1 species